rnacentral:rRNA from 1 species
AGCUUGCUCCCUUAUGUUAGCGGCGGACGGGUGAGUAACACGUGGGUAACCUGCCUGUAAGACUGGGAUAACUCCGGGAAACCGGGGCUAAUACCGGAUGCUUGAUUGAACCGCAUGGUUCAAUUAUAAAAGGUGGCUUUUAGCUACCACUUACAGAUGGACCCGCGGCGCAUUAGCUAGUUGGUGAGGUAACGGCUCACCAAGGCAACGAUGCGUAGCCGACCUGAGAGGGUGAUCGGCCACACUGGGACUGAGACACGGCCCAGACUCCUACGGGAGGCAGCAGUAGGGAAUCUUCCGCAAUGGACGAAAGUCUGACGGAGCAACGCCGCGUGAGUGAUGAAGGUUUUCGGAUCGUAAAACUCUGUUGUUAGGGAAGAACAAGUACCGUUCGAAUAGGGCGGUACCUUGACGGUACCUAACCAGAAAGCCACGGCUAACUACGUGCCAGCAGCCGCGGUAAUACGUAGGUGGCAAGCGUUGUCCGGAAUUAUUGGGCGUAAAGCGCGCGCAGGCGGUUUCUUAAGUCUGAUGUGAAAGCCCCCGGCUC